CAGAUGGCGAAGAAGGAUAAGAAAGACCUGCAUGUGGUUUUUCUGGAUCUGGCCAAUGCUUUCGGGUCUGUGCCUCAUGAGGUGUUGUGGACAGCCUUCACUUUCUUCCAAGUCCCAGAGGGCAUCACACGGCUCGUCAAAGCCUACUUCCAGGACCUUCAGUUUUGUGUGACAGCACAAGCUAGCAUGACUGCUUGGCAGCAUCUCGAGGUUGGCAUUAUGGCGGGCUGCACCAUUUCCCCACUAGCGUUUACCAUGGCAAUGGAGCUCAUCAUUCGAGCAUCCCGUUGGGUGGUUGGAGGUGAACGGCUGAAGAAUGGACUGCGUCUUCCUCCAAUUAGGGCGUACAUGGAUGACAUGACAACAAUAACAACAACAAGGGCAUGCACCAAACGCCUACUGGAGAAACUCCAGGAAAACAUUCAAUGGGCACGGAUGGAGAUUAAACCAAGCAAAUCUGGCAGCAUCUCUAUUGUCAAAGGACAGCUUGCUAAUGAGAGGUUCCACAUUAACAACGAGCCUGUACCAACAAUUUUGGAGAAGCCUAUUAAGAGUCUUGGCCGCUGGUACAGUGCAGAGCUCAAAGACUCAAAGCAGGUGGAGCAACUCAAGCAGGACACCAUCAGUGGCCUCAGGCAGAUCAACAGUACUGCUCUCCCUGGAAAACUGAAGCUGUGGUGCUUUCAGUUUGGGCUGCUACCUCGGCUCAUGUGGCCAAUUUCCAUCUAUGAGGUCACUUUAUCUCAUGCAAACCGGCUGGAGAGACUGGUGAAUGCGCAGGUGAGGAAGUGGCUCGGACUGCCAAGAUGUCUUAGCAGUAUAGGCUUGUACGGCAGUGGAGUCCUCUCCCUCCCAAUCUCAAGCCUGGUGGAGGAGUAUAAAUGUGCAAAAGCAAGACUGGAAAUGACUCUUACUGAAUCCCGGGAUCCCUUUGUCAGAGGUGCUGCUCCAACCCUAGCAACGGGAAGGAAAUGGAAGCCAUCGGCAGCGGUCGCAGAGGCAAAAACCAGCCUGAGGCACCGGGAUAUAGUAGGGCAUGUCCAGCAUGGCAGGAACGGCCUUGGCAUGGAAGCAACAACGCCUACAUGGCAAAAAGCUACCCCAGCCGAACGGCGGCACAUGGUAGUGGAGGAGGUGCGCCAUCAGGAGGAAGCAGCUAGGUGCGCCAAAGCG
rnacentral:lncRNA from 1 species